AGUGUAGGACGACAUCCUGGUAAUGCUGCAAACCCCCCAGUGUGCAGUGGGGAAGCCAACCUUGGAGAGCUGAGCAUGCG
rnacentral:snoRNA from 1 species